rnacentral:rRNA from 2 species
UACGGGGGGUGCAAGCGUUGUUCGGAAUUAUUGGGCGUAAAGAGCGUGUAGGCGGCUGAAUAAGUCAGAUGUGAAAUCCCUGGGCUUAACCCAGGACGUGCAUUUGAAACUAUUCAGCUUGAGUAAGGGAGAGGAAAGUGGAAUUCCUGGUGUAGAGGUGAAAUUCGUAGAUAUCAGGAGGAACACCGGUGGCGAAGGCGACUUUCUGGCCCUAUACUGACGCUGAGACGCGAGAGCGUGGGUAGCAAACAGGAUUAGAUACCCUGGUAGUCCACGCUGUAAACGAUGUUCACUAGGUGUUGGGGGUAUUGACCCUCUCAGUGCCGCAGCUAACGCAUUAAGUGAACCGCCUGGGGAGUACGGUCGCAAGAUUAAA